rnacentral:rRNA from 1 species
GUGAACGCUGGCGGUAGGCCUAACACAUGCAAGUCGAACGGCAGCACAGUAAGAGCUUGCUCUUACGGGUGGCGAGUGGCGGACGGGUGAGGAAUACAUCGGAAUCUACUUUUUCGCGGGGGAUAACGUAGGGAAACUUACGCUAAUACCGCAUACGACCUACGGGUGAAAGCAGGGGAUCUUCGGACCUUGCGCGAUUGAAUGAGCCGAUGUCGGAUUAGCUAGUUGGCGGGGUAAAGGCCCACCAAGGCGACGAUCCGUAGCUGGUCUGAGAGGAUGAUCAGCCACACUGGAACUGAGACACGGUCCAGACUCCUACGGGAGGCAGCAGUGGGGAAUAUUGGACAAUGGGCGCAAGCCUGAUCCAGCCAUACCGCGUGGGUGAAGAAGGCCUUCGGGUUGUAAAGCCCUUUUGUUGGGAAAGAAAAGCAGCAGGUUAAUACCCCGCUGUUCUGACGGUACCAAAAGAAUAAGCACCGGCUAACUUCGUG